rnacentral:rRNA from 1 species
CGUGUCGCGCAUAUCUGCAUAUCAAUAAGCGGAGGAAAAGAAACUAACAAGGAUUCCCUUAGUAACGGCGAGUGAAGCGGGAAGAGCUCAGAUUUGAAAUCUUCAAGGUUCUACCUUGACGAAUUGUAGUUUAAAGAAGUGUUUUCUGUUAGAUGAGUAGCAAAAGUUCCUUGGAAUGGGACAUCAUAGAGGGUGAGAAUCCCGUAUUUGGUUAUUCAUUCUAGCUUUGUGAUACACUUUCAAAGAGUCGGAUUGUUUGGGAAUGCAGUCCAAAAUGGGUGGUAAAUUUCAUCUAAAGCUAAAUAUUGGCGAGAGACCGAUAGCGAACAAGUACCGUGAGGGAAAGAUGAAAAGAACUUUGAAAAGAGAGUUAAACAGUACGUGAAAUUGUCAAAAGGGAAGCGUUUGACACCAGUGUUGUUUUUCCGAAAAUCAAUUACGAAUGGCUUGAUUUUGUGUUGUAUUGACCUUAUCAGCUUUCUGCACUUUUUUCGAGUCUUUCUUAAUGCACUUUUCGGUUAACAAGUCAACAUCAAUUUCUUUUGUUGUAAAAGAGUAUUCGGAGGUGGCCUUCUUUUCGGAGAAAGUGUUUAUAGCCCUAUACUUCUACAAUCGGAGAGAUUGAGGUCUAGCAGCGUAGAUCCUUCGGGGUUAGAUACACUUGUGCUAAGUUGUAGCUUUUCAUAGACAACUUGUUGACUAUGUUUAGUCAUGCGGCUUACUCGCUUAUGCUAUUUUACCUACGCUUAGGAUGUUGACGAUCAGUGAGCGCG